rnacentral:tRNA from 1 species
GCUCCUUUAGCUCAGUCGGUAGAGCUACGGACUUUUAAUCCGCAGGUCCUCGGUUCGAGCCCGAGAGGGAGCACCA